rnacentral:tRNA from 1 species
GGAAGUGGGCGGUGGCUGGUGCCAUCCGCGGUCUUCAAAACCGUGGGUUUCAGAGGUGCUCUGGAACGGUGGGUUCGAUUCCUGCGCACUUCCGCCA